rnacentral:lncRNA from 1 species
GCCCAGCAAGUUUAAAUACAACAAUAUAAGGAUAUAUCAUGAUUGAAGAGUAUGAAUAAUGGGCUUGCUAUAAUUCAUCAAUGUAAUUGAGAACUAGCACGAACAAAAAUUUUUUUUGACUGAACAAGUUUUAAACAUGAACAAACAUUUCUGAACCAACUGGUAAUGAAGGUGAUCAGCCUUUCAUACCUGACUUAUACAUGCAAGAUGUACAGAGUACAAUUUUCAUGGCAAUCAGCAAUGAUUAACCAUAAGCUUGAAUAAAACACUC